rnacentral:rRNA from 1 species
GACGAACGCUGGCGGCGUGCUUAACACAUGCAAGUCGAACGGAAAGGCCCUGCUUUUGUGGGGUGCUCGAGUGGCGAACGGGUGAGUAACACGUGAGUAACCUGCCCUUGACUUUGGGAUAACUUCAGGAAACUGGGGCUAAUACCGGAUAGGAGCUCCUGCUGCAUGGUGGGGGUUGGAAAGUUUCGGCGGUUGGGGAUGGACUCGCGGCUUAUCAGCUUGUUGGUGGGGUAGUGGCUGACCAAGGCUUUGACGGGUAGCCGGCCUGGGAGGGUGACCGGCCACAUUGGGACUGAGCUGCGGCCCAGCCUCCUACGGGAGGCAGCAGUGGGGAAUAUUGCACUAUGGGCGGAGGCCUGAUGCAGCACCGCCGCGUGCGGGAUGACGUCCUUCGGGUUGUAAACCGCUUUCGCCUGUGACGAAGCGUGAGUGACGGUAAUGGGUAAAGAAGCACCGGCUAACUACGUG